rnacentral:rRNA from 1 species
UACGUAGGGGGCAAGCGUUGUCCGGAUUUAUGGCGUAAAGAGCGUGUAGGCGGCCAGGUAGGUCUGCUGUGAAAACUCGAGGCUUAACCUCGAGCUGUCGGCGGAAACCAUCUGGCUAGAGUCCGGAAGAGGAGAGUGGAAUUCCUGGUGUAGCGGUGAAAUGCGGCAGAUAUCAGGAAGAACACCCGUGGCGAAGGCGGCUCUCUGGGACGGUACUGACGACGAGA